CCUACGGUGUGCAGCAGUGGGGAAUAUUGGGCAAUGGGCGCAAGCCUGACCCAGCAACGCCGCGUGAAGGAAGAAGGCUUUCGGGUUGUAAACUUCUUUUGUCAGGGACGAAGCACGUGACGGUACCUGACGAAUAAGCCACGGCUAACUACGUGCCAGCAGCCGCGGUAAUACGUAGGUGGCAAGCGUUAUCCGGAGUUAUUGGGUGUAAAGGGCGUGUAGGCGGGAAUGCAAGUCAGAUGUGAAAACUAUGGGCUCAACCCAUAGCCUGCAUUUGAAACUGUAGUUCUUGAGUGCUGGAGAGGCAAUCGGAAUUCCGGGUGUAGCGGUGAAAUGCGUAGAUAUACGGAGGAACACCAGUGGCGAAGGCGGAUUGCUGGACAGUAACUGACGCUGAGGCGCGAAAGCGUGGGGAGCAAACAGGAUUAGAUACCCUUGUAGUC
rnacentral:rRNA from 1 species